AGUGAACGCUGGCGGUAGGCCUAACACAUGCAAGUCGAACGGCAGCACAGUAAGAGCUUGCUCUUACGGGUGGCGAGUGGCGGACGGGUGAGGAAUACAUCGGAAUCUACUUUUUCGUGGGGGAUAACGUAGGGAAACUUACGCUAAUACCGCAUACGACCUACGGGUGAAAGCAGGGGAUCUUCGGACCUUGCGCGAUUGAAUGAGCCGAUGUCGGAUUAGCUAGUUGGCGGGGUAAAGGCCCACCAAGGCGACGAUCCGUAGCUGGCCUGAGAGGAUGGUCAGCCACACUGGAGCUGAGACACGGUCCAGACCCCUACGGGAGGCAGCAGUGGGGAAUAUUGGACAAUGGGCGCAAGCCUGAUCCAGCCAUACCGCGUGGGUGAAGAAGGCCUUCGGGUUGUAAAGCCCUUUUGUUGGGAAAGAAAAGCAGCAGGUUAAUACCCCGCUGUUCUGACGGUACCCAAAGAAUAAGCACCGGCUAACUUCGUG
rnacentral:rRNA from 1 species